CUUCGGAGCUCCAACUACCGGGAGCCUCCAACAUGCCCGUAGUAGCCCUUCUCCCCUGGAGGAAAGACAGUCUCCGGAGAAAAGCUUCAGGAUGAAUGCCAUGGAAAGAGAAACAAAAUCCAUGGUGGAUCAAGCUGAUGAAAAACAGCUAAUGUGUCCUGAAAUCAGUUGGCUGAACCAGUGAGGUUCAUCACCCUUUUCUUGGGUUAUAUUUGCUCAUAAUGUGAAGUUAGUUUGAGAUUUUGAAAGCAGUUUGGAAGAAUCACUCAUGGUCACAGUCUAUUUGCAAACCUAUCAACGCUGGAGAUUUGAUGCUGUCACUGAGGUACACACUGCUCAAAGCAACACAGAAAUUCUGGCAGGGUCUACGCAUGGCAGGGGCUGGAAGGGACCUGCCCAGAUUCCAUGAGAACACGCAGAUCAGGGCAGCUCUCUGUGGAGGCAUCCUGCGGCACCAGAGUAUUUAGGAGAGAUACAAAACCCCAUUAAUUUUACAAGCAUGGCAAGAGCACAGCCUCAGCAGCGGCAGCGUCAUCAUUUGGUUGACAGAAAGCACAUGUUUUUGCACACAUGGACUUCAAAAUAGCCACAUCAAAACAAAAAUGUGUUUCCAACAGCCCAGCAUGUGGCAUGGACUGAAGUUUUAAUUGGCAAGCAAGGCUUUCUGCUGGGAACAGCUUGGGUGUGCCUGCGAGCUGUGGAGUGAGGCCCCUAGUCAGUGUGGAAUCAAGAGUCCACGAAGCAAACCUUAGAGAGAGAGACAGAGGAGGAAGAGGUGAACACCAAUCAGUGGAGCUCAAGAGAAAAAGAAAAUAAAAACACAGCACCACUGGAAGAACACAUGGGUCGCAAAAUGAGGAGAGAAAUGAGGAACGAGCCGGCCUGAGGACUUCGGCCAGCUGGUCCCUGUAUGAAGUCCGCCAGGGCAGACCAUCACUCACACAAUCUUGUUUUCUUUGUCCCUCCCAAAUCCCAACACCAACUCCUCAUCUGGUCCCCAAAACCUCACUGGACAUCAGGUCCUGCUUGCCUAAGUGCAGUAAAAAUCAAACUUACUACAUAUUGAGCACCUUCUACACCCAGAUGCUGUACCAGGAAUCAUAUUACAUCAUCCUCUUUGGUUCCCACACCUACAAUAUAAAGUGAAGAUUGAUGUCCCCAUGUGAGAAAUAAGGAAACAUGUUCAGAGAGGUUAAGCAACUUGCCCAGAGCUACACAGUAGGCUGGCUACUCUCUGACUGUUUGAUCCAUGCUCUGUUCUGCUCUGUGCCUGAGGAUGCUGACUCCCGCACAGAACACCAGCUGUAUUUGCUCUCCCUCUCCCUGGCUCAGCCCCUGGAAGUUCUAGCAAAGGUAGGAAGAAGGAAACUGGGAUAUUAACACCCCUGCUUCCUUCACGUAGGGCCUUAGUUUGGCAGAGGUUGUCAGGCCACUGUUUCUGUCCCUUGGUCUCUCUCCUCUGGCCACAACUCUUACCAAGUCCUAGUCAUUCACCAAGUUUCUUCAGGCCUGAAGGUGGGAACAGUGUCCCACGACCGCUAGUCUCUGGGUGAAGCAUCACCACAUUUUGAUGGUCCCAUGACCUCCCUAUACCUCUGUAAACAGUCCCUUCACUGAAUAUAUUCAGCAACCCUCUGACCAACAGGACCUCACUGCUAAGCAGAGCUCAUGCUAGCAGAGCUUGCAUUUGAACCUGGAUUGGCUGGACUGCAAAGCUCGGGCUGUUAAUCACAGGGCUAUACUGUGUGGUGGGUGACUUAAGCAAUCAAGAAGUACAUAAUCAUUCCUGGAAUUAAGCGUGUACGCACACGUGCACACACACACGCGCACACACACACAGUGGGCAGGAAUGUUUCAAUGUUGCUUUCAUCCACGUCCCUGACAGCCGAGUUCAGAGUGUCCAAUUAGAAUUUCUGGUUAUGCAAUUUUUCUUUGAAGUGAUAAAUUGGUGGUAGAAAGUUCUGAACUUGAUACAUCUCUGGGUGGCUUCAGUUGAUUUCAAUCUGUGGUAGUGUCUAGAUGACUCUGCCAGGACUUGGCUUUCUGGCAGGUCUUAUGAAACCAAGGGCUGGGCCAGCCAGUUCUAUAAUAGUUGCUCCAAACUGUGUAGAUUCCAGGGACCUCCCCAGCUCAGAGCUAAUAACUAACACGAUUGACUACAGACGUGUGUUUUAAUCACAGAAAUCUGAAAAAGGUCCCAAGAGAAAAAAGCUUACAACUUUCAAAAUCUUUUAGACUUUGCCUUUGGUGUUAGACCAGUUCUUCCUAGGUUGUUCACUUGGAUUCACUCUAGAGCAAGGUUUCUCAGCCUGGGUACCUGGGUAUUCUAGGUUGAAUAAUUCCUUCUUCUGGGAGACUGUCUCAUGAGCUGCAGGAUGUUUAGCAGAAUCCCUGGUUUCUACUCACUAGAGGCUUCAGCACCAACCUUCCACUUCUCCUCUGCUAUUGUGGCAACUGAAAAUGUCUCCAGACACUGCCAAAUGUCCCCCAGGAGAGCAAACUCACCCCUGGUUGAGAAUCACUGCUCUACAGGAAUAGUUGCAUGAGGAUGGGCACAAACUCAGCUUCACAAAAGAAAUUCUACUCAAGCCUCACAAAAGAGACAGCUUAUCACUUGCAAAAUACUGAUUCAAUAGCCUAAUUUUUAUGCCUUAAAAGUUAAGCCAUGCUUUGUCCUCAAGUUUCAGAGUUUGAUUUUCCAGAGGUUCAGACCUAAGCCCCACUGAAGAUGACUUCAGAGAUGGCUUAGGCCUGAACCUGCUUGACCCGAACAAUUUUGACCAUGUAUAGUCAAAAUUACCUUCAAAAGUCCCUUUGGACAGUGCUACCUUAUAGAUCCCAUAACUUCUCCAUGGUUUUGACAAUCACGGUUUUAAUUUAGCGUCAGUGGAACUCCUUAAGUGCUGGGAUUGCAUUCAUGGGCUGUGUUACCCCCAAAUACAAAUCUGUAAACUCUAAACUCACAUUUGAAGCAGCAAAUUGUUCAUACGACAAGGGGCACGUUGGAAUCAGGAAUGGUUCAAGGAAAAGAAGAAAAGAUCUAUGCUCCUUGUGGUCAUGCUCCCUCAGGGACAUGCACUUAAUAUGAAUGUUAGACAGGAUUAAAAGCGCUAUUUAAAUUAGAAUUUCCACUUCCCACUCUUGCCCCUCAGAUUACGCUUCUGAUUAAGUUCACUUGCUUAAAUAUGUAUAUAAUGCUACUGUAGUAUCAUACAGGAUAAAAAAGAAGCAAUUUCAGGUUCAAUUAUUCUCAUAUUGAUAACAUAUAGGGUGACUAUUCUAUUAGAGUCAGAUCCUCAGAAAGAAAUGGCCCAGAUAUGUCAACUCUCUGUAAAAGUUUCCUCUCUAUUAAUUAUACCAACAUCAUUUAUUCAGUCCUUAUGGAGUGGCCUGCAUAGUCAAAGAUGUGUCCUCCACCCAUGGCUCAUGUAAUAAAUUUCUUCCUGGGUAGAGAGGAAACAGCUGUCUCUGCAGAUUCAUGAGUCUGCUUUCUUUUGUCAUGCUUGACCAUUCGCCAACUCAUAACCCAUGUACUGAAUGCUUGUUCUGCUCCAAGCACUGGGAAUAACAAAGGUGGGCACAGGCACGUGCCCUGCCCGAGGCACACGUAGAUGCUUGGGAGGAGCAACUUAUCACAUGGACAGUGAGGUAAGCCCUGCAUCCCAACUGUGCACAAGAUGCAAGGGAAACACAAGAGAGGGAUCAAGGGCGGCUUUAGAGAAGAGAAGAUGCCUCAGCUCGAUGAAGAGUCCAGGGGGCACCCAAUGGAAGAGUGCACUCCAAGCACAGAGCAUGGCAUUUUCAGAGCCUGGAAGAAGUGAAACCUAUCAGAAGUGAUUGAAAUGGCCCAGAUCAGAGAUGGUUGAGGCCAGGACUAACGCAAUGGCAAUGAAGAGAAAAGAAAGAGGGCUGAUUUGAGAGAAAACAACACAAAAGACACUUGGGGAUUGAUUGGAUGUAAGGUAAGUGUUGAAGGAGGAAUCAAAAAUUAUAUGAAUGUUCCAGCUUAAAUGAUUGGGCCACGAGAGAUAGCCUUAACCAGGUGGGGACUAGAAAAUAUAAGCAGGUUUCGGGUGGGGGUUUCUGGAUGAGAGAUAGACAUCACCUUCCAUCUGAACAGCCCUCAGCCUGGCACUUGGUGGGUCUGAAGAGUUGGAGGGGCAUUUAGUGGAGAUGGCUGGGGAAGUGCAAUACACACGCCCUGAGCUCAGGGAGGCCAAGGCUGGCAGUACAGACCUCAGGGAUUCAAGGCAUAUGGGAGGUAGGUAAAAAUCACAGGUGGAAUGCGAGGGCCCAGUGAGAGGAUGUGUAUGAAGAUAGAGAGGAGCUGGAGAGGAACUUCAGAAAAACCCACCACGUAGUGAAAAGGCAGAAGAGGAGUCAGUGAGAGGAUUGCAACCAAACAAUGAGAAAAGACUAAGACAAAUGUUGAGAAAACAAUGAGAAAUGCACGCGACUCAAAAGGCAACUAUCCUGUUUAGCCUGGAGAUGAUCUAGAGGACAAAGAGGCAUCCAGAGGGGGAUGGAUCCAGAAAGUCAACAAAAAGCGACUUGAACUUCCCGAUGUAUCUGGCAGAGGCAGCCUUCUCACAGAAGUUACAAAUUCAAAAGGCUCCAAAGAUGCAUAUCAUGCCCAGAGGCAGAUGAAACACACUGCAUGGUCACUGAACCCAGAGGUUCUCCUGAAAAAGUGUAUUUCAGGUACCAGAAAGUCAACGUGAGUGUGUCUUGCCAUACUGCAGGUGUUGUAUCAUUUUGAACAAAUGUGUUCCAAAGAUGGAUGGGGGAAAGCAGGGCUGCUGAAGGGAAAGGGGGAGUGGUGGAGAUAGCAGAGUAGUGAUUAAGAUCUUGAGCAUGGACAAGGAUGCUAGAAGGAGCCCCAGAGUUAUUCUCCUUUGCUAAUUUCCCCAGUCUCAGUCAUUGUCUGGAAAUUCAAAGUACCACUGUGGCUCAAGAACCCUCAUUGUCCUGACAUGUGGAGCCUCCUGACUGCACCUGAAAGCACUGACCCAAGGCUCCCACCUGGGAUGAAAGGUGCAGAUGUCUCACCCAGCCAACAAGCCAGAUUCUCUGUUUGAGGAUCAGGAGGCUACAGGAAUCGCCAUAUUUACCCAUACUUUAAAUGCCUGCAUCUGUGACAGGAAGUAUCAUUAACCUUUGUCAAUAAUGUCUGCUGGUGAGUAGGCCAUGGCCAUAUAGGCCGUAUAUAUCCCCAGGGCCAAACAAUCAGACAUUUGGAAAUACCCUGGAAUCCAAUUACAGGUAGAGAAAAAAAUCACUGUCAAACGUAUUUUUCCUUGACAUAAAUAAAAAUAAUAUAGUGUGGCAUCAUUUUCAAAUGUAUCUGUGAUGUAUUAUUUCUGUGUGCAAUAUGGAGAGUAUCAAGCUCAUAAUAAAAUACUGUAGACAUAAUUUUGCUUUCAUGGCUAGGUUAGUGGGUGAAAGCCACUUCUAAAUUCUUGACAGCUGCUUCCUUCCACUGGGAAAUGCCAUUUAUCUCCACCUGGCCUCAGGAGGGACUCGUUUACAAGAGGGAGCAAGGAGGGAACAUAGUUCUAGCUCUCUAGAGAAGGCAGCUUAACCCCGGGAUGCCCUCCAGGGACCACCAUCAACAUAUGGUUUUCAGAGUCUCAAUAUUUUAAGACCGACAUUACUCAUCCAUGACUGAGCCAUCUGCCUGGGACAAUCUUCCAUGGCUCAGGGAUCGGGAGUAACGGGAUGUCACGGGAAGCUGUGGAGGAGCCGGCCCGCUCCAGCAGAAUGAGCCAAGGUUUGGAGAGCCAGCAAAGAAUUGGACAGACAAUAUCGUUCCAUUAUAUCCAGUUCUGCUAAGGUCAUGGAGUCCGGCCUUGUUUAAAUUAAACUUUAUGCCAUAUUUAGUCAACCCUCCUAGAAUUAAAAGCUUAAUGCCUCUGCUGUCUUCAAUUGGCUAAGUCUACAUCAGGCUGUAAGCCAUAACACUUGACUAAAGCAAACAGUGCUAGCAGGAGGGUUAGUCAACACACACUGUGUAAACGCUGCUGAGAACCAUCCCUGUGUUAAUGUGAAAGAAAACGGACCCACAGUAUGCAGAGCAGGCAGGAAAACAGCUGAUGCUCAAGGCUGCAGUGUACAAUAUCAUCGCGCCUCUCCAAAUAAAGUGAAGAAGACAGAAUAUCUCCCAGGAGAGCUUGCCUGUCUGUACAUAAGGACGUACACACACACACCCACAUCCAACCAUGUGCCAGUAAUUUUUACAAUUUGAAUUAUUUUCCUUCUUCCAUAUUUACCUUCUAUUUUCACUAGGUCCACAUUUUUCUUUGCUUGCUGUAAUUAAUUUUAUUCUCCUUCAGUUUAAUUUAAACCAGACUAACAGUUCCUCGGGUAAGAACAUUCGAAUGUUGGUCACUUGAUUGGGCAGACCCACAUCUCAAAAUGAUAAAGUAUUAAAUGAAUAUUCCAGUAUUUAGGAUUAAAUGUUAAAGUAAAGCUUAUUUUCCAUAUUCUCCUUUUUCCAUGGCCAUACAUUGACAACUUUGAUGAAUCAUUUUGCUUUAAUAUAAGUGGCUCUGAAGACGUCUAGUUUGUUAGUGACCAGGCAGUUGCAGUCACAACCCCCCUCCCCCAACAAAGUGUACCCAUAGUUGCUGUCUCAGUAUUAGCCUGCAGGUUGAAAUCAUCACUACUGCCCUGAGGAAGCCUGUCUGAUGUUAACCUGUUCAUUUUCCCUCUACUCUCCCUGUACUCACCUUGGGGAUGGUGAGGGGUUCCUGGGGAGGAGGCAGACACCGUGAGAGCCUCUUGAGAGUCUGAAGAUGAGGGGCUAUGGCUCAGAGGAGCCAGGCAGGCUGGGGCUGCUGGCGAGGUCAGGUCCAAGGAGAGGUCGGCUCUGCCCCGGCUCACACUCCGGCUUCUCAGCUCCUUCUCGUGCUCCUCAGCUGCCAACUGUUCCAAGUAUUUGUAUCUGAAAGUUAAAUUCCAAAGGGUUUCCGUCAAACGAAAGAGGAGCCUGUGGCUGAUGCUUGUUUAUGGAUGAAACACCUGCAGAAUGAGCCGGUUUCCUGAUGCACACAGCACAGUGCAGGGCUGGCUGGAGAGUCAGCCUGCCAAAAACACCCAGCAAAGCCAAGAUGCUAAUGAUUAAAAAUCCCACGUCACUCAUAACCAAGCAAAUUGGGGGAAAUGGCAGCAUCACACAGUCCCUAGAUACUGGAUCACUGCUGCAGAAUCCUAUCUUGCUCUUUUAGGGAACAUUUGUAAAUAAGCAAAACAGCAAUAACCACCACCAAAAAGCCUCAAGAGUGAUGGCUGAAAACCAAACCCCCUCGGAGCUCACAGCUGUGAAAUGGGUGGGUGCCUUGGUGUGGCAGAGAGAAAAAAAAUGCCCCCCAUAUACCAAAGGGGGUUGCUUGGAUGAAGGCCUGCCUCUCUGAAUUUCUGAACCUGCUUCAAUACUAACAGCAAUGUAACUGGAAUUCACUUUGUUCUCUCAGUGCUGACCAUGGAAACUUUUUUUAUAUUCUAAAAUAUUUCUGAGUAGGAAUCAGACAUCCAAUAGCUUGAACCUGACGUCACAUAGAGUUUAUUCAUCAAAGUCAGUUUAAAAGAACAAAGAUACAUCUGUUUUGCAUUUCAGGCAGGCAGAACCCACUAACUGUUUAUUAAGACCAGCUACCAAUCAUAUUCCUCAUAGUGCGCUUUAUAGAUCAGACCAAAAUAACUUUGAAAUGUGUGCCUCUUCCAGAUGUCUGCUAAUUUUACUCACCAUUAUUUUUUCAGAAAUAAAUUUAUGCAUUCAGCUGUAACAGGUUUCUUACUAUCUUACCUACCACUAAACUUUGGAACAGCUUACUCAAGACGCUCACUUUGCAUCUAUCCAAUUCACUGCUUCAGUUCCUCACAAUGGGCAUUAGACAUGGUGUUCCUCAUUUACCCAGAUAAGAAAGGCAGAGCACAUAAUUAAAAUAUUUUAAAA
rnacentral:lncRNA from 1 species